ACCAAUUCUGGGGGAUGAUGCAGUUCCUCUUGGCAUAAUGGCUCGGGCGCUAAAUCAAUCUAGCAGUGUGGUAUAUCCUGAUUGGUGACUUUGUUUUUUGUGUCAUAUAAUCCUGGAAACGCCACAUAUAUUU